AGCGAACGCUGGCGGCGUGCCUAACACAUGCAAGUCGAACGUGAAAAGGGAAACCUGAGUAAAGUGGCGUACGGGUGAGUAACGCGUAGGUAGUCUACCACAGAAUCUGGAAUAACCUGCCGAAAGGCGGGAUAAUACUGGAUAGAGCGUGGGAACUCGUAAGAGAGUUUGUCGGGAAGGGGAGCCCGCAAGGGCGUUCGUUCUGGGAUGAUCCUGCGUCUCAUUAGCUAGUUGGUAAGGUAACGGCUUACGAAGGCGAUGAUGAGUAGCUGGUCUGAGAGGGUGAGCAACCAGACUGGAGCGGGUACACGGCCCAGACGGCUACGGGAGGCAGCAGUGGGGAAUACGGCGCGAUGGAGGAGAGUCUGACGCAGCAAGGCCGGGUGCGUGAUGAAGGCAUGCGGCGUGUAAAGCUCCGUCGGAUGGGACGAACACCGUCAUAGUGUAUAGCGAUGAGGACGGGAGGUAACUGCAAAGGGAAGAACCGCUUACCUCCGU
rnacentral:rRNA from 1 species